AUACAGUUAGGUGUGCUGGCAGCUGGCAGCAGAAGGAGGGAGAAAUGUUUCCUGCUAAAAUGCAGGGCAUUAACAGAUAGAAACAAAUUCAAAACCUUUCCCCACAUUUAAGAAGGAGAAGACCACAAAUAUUCAAAGAAAUGGCCACUUUCGAGAUUACUUGGAUGCCACUGAAACAGAAUUCAUCACAGCAAUUCAACUGUUCAUCAAUUCAGGGAAAAGCCACAAUUCAUCAGUUCAAUUCCAAAAAUGGGUUGCCAGUUUGCUCCCUGGCAAAAUGUUUGUGGAUUAUGUUUGGGCUGUUGAGGGUUUCAAGCCUUUGCCUACAGCGACACCUGAAGCUCCUGAUGGCAUAUAUCAAUUGCCACCUUUCUACACGUACCAUGGAGAUCUGUACUAAAGAAGGUGUUGGCAUCUCUUCCUGUUUUGCACUAUGCCUAAGAAAGGAUGUGAACCAAG